rnacentral:lncRNA from 12 species
GUGGUGGGCAUACACCUGCAUCAAGCCAUAUAGGUAACAUUGGUGGUCAGGAGGGGCUUUUGGGAGAACAUGAUAACUGAAUGAGUCCUAAGCCUGAAUGAGGCCAGGCUGGUAAGAGGUCUUAUGGCAACUGGGAAGGCAUGUCUUUCUAACCAGAGGGAUCCUCAUACUCAAAAGCCUAUGGGUGAGGGUGAGUGAGUGAUUUUCUAGAGAUGCAAAUGAGUUAAGAAGGCCAGGAAGGAGAUAGCAAAUUGAGAAAGCACAGAGCCUGGAAUCUGUUCCUGAAGAGCCCUAUAAAACCUGGUAAGGAGUUUUGCCUUGACCCUUAAGGUGGGAAGCUAUUUUAAGCAGAGGAGUACCUUGAUGAGAUCUAUAUUUCAGAAAGACCAGCAAAACACCUAAUGGGACAUUAGAGGGUUUUCAAUAAAACUUUGUCAGGUACUUCUGGCCAAGGGUUGGAACUGGCACCAAUGUGUGGGCCAGAGAGCAUAGCUGUACAAGAGACAUACGGGGUUGUGGCUAAAGAAGUAGAAGCAAGGUAGUUCUACUACGCAUUCCUCCCUUUCCUCCUUACCACAUACUCAAGCCUGCCUUGCAAUACAGUUCUACCAGAAUAUGGUCAACUAUGUCUCUGUUUUAAAAUGUCUCCACUUCCGCAAGAGUAACGAUACUCUUUUCCUCUUUGUCUUUACAGAUCUGUCAUUGAGAGCGUGGAUUUUCCACAGGUCCAUCUCCCCAGAUAACUGGUUUUGUUGGUGCAUCUUUCCUUUUUGGAACAUGAGAUGCAAUUUGGAUAACUCAUCUGUGACUCACCAUGCUGAAUGAAUAGAAUACUGUUCUACUGCCAGCUGUUUUGAGUGGUGCAGCUGCAAGGUAUGGUGGAAAUACAGAUUUAAACAAGAAACCACAGAGGUGUCUUUUCAUGGAGCCCUAUGUUUUCUCACAUUUAAUUAAUAUAGAAGUCAGAGAGCUCUGGAACCAUUUGUCAUCACUGCAUAAAGUGGUCUGGGAAGUUUCACUGAAGCUGAUACAGCCUGGGGAAAAUGAGUCAUAGAAGGUCUGAAUUAAGAGCUAGAAGGAAUGUUAGAGAUUGUCAUCAUGACAGUGACUUAUAUAGCACGUAAAAGGUCACAAGCCACUUAUUCACAGGCACAUGAUGUAUAUAUUUUGCCCCAUCAUAUGCCAGAAAGAAAUAGUUAAGGGGGCCUAUACACACAUGCUGACAUUUAUUACCAAAUUACAUUGUACAAAACACUGAUAAGUCAUUUAUAUAUAGCAUCUCAUUUACUCCUUGAAAUAGCCCUAAGUACUACUUAGUACUUACAUAGGAGCAAUUCUUCUUGUGGAUCUGCAAUGCCCGAAUGAAGCCGUGGGGUCAUGUUAAGCCACUGGCAAAGAGUGUGGGGUCUAUAAUCAGAAGCCCCGCACUCACUUCCCAGGUUUGCCAGGUCCUUGCCCUUUGACACUGAGCAAUUGCCCGAGUGUCUUGAGCCUCCAUUCUUUUAGAUGCAAAAUGGGGGAAAUUAUAUCCCUUCCUCAUCAGAUGAGGAAGACUCACUGGGAUAAUGCAAAUAAGUUUAGAAUAAUGCCUGGCAUGUGAUACAUGUCCAACGAAUGCUACACAGUAUUACUAUGUGAUUUACCCAAGUCCACACAGCAGGUAACCAGUGAGAGCUGAACCCCAGCCAUCCUGACCACGAAGCUGUACUCUCCCUGCUAGCUUAUUGCUUUUUCUUUUUCUCCCCCACAGCUUUGUGUUAUCCUCAUUCUACUAGUUAGAAACUCGGGACGCAGAGAGGUUUAAGAACCCACUCAGGGCCACAGAAUUGGUCCAUGACAGGGCCUACAGAAGACCGAGGUCUUCUGAUCCCAAAGUAGAAUUGCUUUGCUUUGUAUGACACCAUCCCUGCCUCCCCCCAAUCUUGAAGCAACUCUAUAUUGUAUGUUCAGAAAAUCAAGGUUCAGGAAGGUUAAGCAACUUGCCUGGUGAUCCUCAAUUACAAAGCAGCAGAAUGGGGGCUGAAACUCAGAUCCCAGGCUCCCUCAUUCUUUCUCAAGGAUUCUUUCCUGUAUAGUACACUCCACUGCCUCUCAGGGAGAUUGAGAGGACAAAAAGAAACAGAGAGGGAGAAACCCACAGACAAAGAUACAGACACAGAAAUAGAGAUGGACAGAGAAAAGAUAAAGGAAGAGAAAGUCAGAGUCCUAUAAGCUAAGAACAUCUUUUAAUCUUUCUUCUUUCUUCCAAGAGGUCCUUAACAUGAUGAAAAGUUGGUAAUUUUUAAGAAGAGCGUGAAAAGAAUACAGUUCUUGGGCAAGUCUGAAUAAAUCAGGAGCAGCACUGAAAUCA